rnacentral:rRNA from 1 species
ACGAACGCUGGCGGCGUGGAUAAGACAUGCAAGUCGAACGAGAGAAUUGCUAGCUUGCUAAUAAUUCUCUAGUGGCGCACGGGUGAGUAACACGUGAGUAACCUGCCCCCGAGAGCGGGAUAGCCUUGGGAAACUGGGAUUAAUACCGCAUAGUAUCGAAAGAUUAAAGCAGCAAUGCGCUUGGGGAUGGGCUCGCGGCCUAUUAGUUAGUUGGUGAGGUAACGGCUCACCAAGGCGAUGACGGGUAGCCGGUCUGAGAGGAUGUCCGGCCACACUGGAACUGAGACACGGUCCAGACACCUACGGGUGGCAGCAGUCGAGAAUCAUUCACAAUGGGGGAAACCCUGAUGGUGCGACGCCGCGUGGGGGAAUGAAGGUCUUCGGAUUGUAAACCCCUGUCAUGUGGGAGCAAAUUAAAAAGAUAGUACCACAAGAGGAAGAGACGGCUAACUCUGUGCCAGCAGCCGCGGUAAUACAGAGGUCUCAAGCGUUGUUCGGAAUCACUGGGCGUAAAGCGUGCGUAGGCUGUUUCGUAAGUCGUGUGUGAAAGGCGCGGGCUCAACCCGCGGACGGCACAUGAUACUGCGAGACUAGAGUAAUGGAGGGGGAACCGGAAUUCUCGGUGUAGCAGUGAAAUGCGUAGAUAUCGAGAGGAACACUCGUGGCGAAGGCGGGUUCCUGGACAUUAACUGACGCUGAGGCACGAAGGCCAGGGGAGCGAAAGGGAUUAGAUACCCCUGUAGUCCUGGCAGUAAACGGUGCACGCUUGGUGUGCGGGGAAUCGACCCCCUGCGUGCCGGAGCUAACGCGUUAAGCGUGCCGCCUGGGGAGUACGGUCGCAAGAUUAAAACUCAAAGAAAUUGACGGGGACCCGCACAAGCGGUGGAGUAUGUGGCUUAAUUCGAUGCAACGCGAAGAACCUUACCUGGGCUUGACAUGUAAUGAACAACAUGUGAAAGCAUGCGACUCUUCGGAGGCGUUACACAGGUGCUGCAUGGCCGUCGUCAGCUCGUGUCGUGAGAUGUUUGGUUAAGUCCAGCAACGAGCGCAACCCCUGUUGCCAGUUACCAGCACGUGAAGGUGGGGACUCUGGCGAGACUGCCCAGAUCAACUGGGAGGAAGGUGGGGACGACGUCAGGUCAGUAUGGCCCUUAUGCCCAGGGCUGCACACGUACUACAAUGCCCAGUACAGAGGGGGCCGAAGCCGCGAGGCGGAGGAAAUCCUAAAAACUGGGCCCAGUUCGGACUGUAGGCUGCAACCCGCCUACACGAAGCCGGAAUCGCUAGUAAUGGCGCAUCAGCUACGGCGCCGUGAAUACGUUCCCGGGUCUUGUACACACCGCCCGUCACAUCAUGGAAGCCGGUCGCACCCGAAGUAUCUGAAGCCAACCGCAAGGAGGCAGGGUCCUAAGGUGAGACUGGUAACUGGGAUG